UGGGGAAUCUUGGACAAUGGGGGCAACCCUGAUCCAGCCAUGCCGCGUGAGCGAUGAAGGCCUUAGGGUUGUAAAGCUCUUUCACCGGUGAAGAUAAUGACGGUAGCCGGGAGAAGAAGCCCCGGCUAACUCCGUGCCAGCAGCCGCGGUAAUACGGAGGGGGUUAGCGUUGUUCGGAAUUACUGGGCGUAAAGCGCACGUAGGCGGACCAGAAAGUUGGGGGUGAAAUCCCGGGGGCUCAACCCCGGAACUGCCUCCAAAACUAUUGGUCUAGAGUUCGAGAGAGGUGAGUGGAAUUCCAAGUGUAGAGGUGAAAUUCGUAGAUAUUUGGAGGAACACCAGUGGCGAAGGCGGCUCACUGGCUCGAUACUGACGCUGAGGUGCGAAAGUGUGGGGAGCAAACAGGAUUAGAUACCCUGGUAGUCCACACCGUAAAACGAUGAAUGCCAGUCGUCGGGUAGCAUGCUAUUCGGUGACACACCUAACGGAUUAAGCAUUCCGGCCUGGGGAGUACGGUCGCAAGAUUAAAACUCAAAUGAAUUG
rnacentral:rRNA from 1 species